GACGAACCGAGCGAACGUUGUUCGGAAUCACUGGGCUUAAAGGGCGCGUAGGCGGGUGCUCAAGUCCGUGGUGAAAUCCUCCGGCUCAACCGGAGAACUGCCUCGGAUACUGGGCGUCUCGAGUGUGGUGAGGGUAUGCGGAACUAUCGGUGGAGCGGUGAAAUGCGUUGAUAUCGAUAGGAACUCCGGUGGCGAAGGCGGCAUACUGGACCACCACUGACGCUGAUGCGCGAAAGCCAGGGGAGCAAACGGG
rnacentral:rRNA from 1 species